rnacentral:rRNA from 1 species
UACGUAGGGUGCAAGCGUUAAUCGGAAUUACUGGGCGUAAAGCGUGCGCAGGCGGUUGUGCAAGACAGAUGUGAAAUCCCCGGGCUUAACCUGGGAAUGGCAUUUGUGACUGCACGGCUAGAGUGUGUCAGAGGGGGGUAGAAUUCCACGUGUAGCAGUGAAAUGCGUAGAUAUGCGGAGGAACAUCGAUGGCGAAGGCAAUCCCCUGGGCCUGCACUGACGCUCAUGCACGAAAGCGUGGGGAGCAAACAGG